UACGGAGGAUGCAAGCGUUAUCCGGAAUCAUUGGGCGUAAAGCGUCCGUAGGUGGUUGCACAAGUCUAUUGUUAAAGAGUGGGGCUUAACUCCAUCAAAGCAGUAGAAACUGUGAGACUAGAGAGUGGUAGGGGCAGAGGGAAUUCCUGGUGUAGCGGUGAAAUGCGUAGAGAUCAGGAAGAACACCAGUGGCGAAAGCGCUCUGCUGGACCGACUCUGACACUGAGGGACGAAAGCUAGGGGAGCGAAAGGG
rnacentral:rRNA from 1 species